CGAAUACCGUAUUCCAAAGCAACUGCAGUGGGAACGCAGGGAGGCAGAAUAUCAUUCCUAGAGCUGGAAUUUGCCAGGACAGUUCUGCAACAACCCCAACCACUGCACAUUGAGUGGAUAUCGAUAUAGCGUUGCAAUCUUAGCUCUUGUGACAAUCCAGGAGGAGGAUCGGUGCUUUUCUUUUACAAGUCUACACUGAAACCUGGAAUUAUAUUUCAUCCAGGCUUUAGUUUGUUUCUUAAGCAGGGAAUAGAAGCGCAGACCUUGUCCGUGCAGUUUACCCAAGUCUACAGGGCUUUUUGUGUUAGAUCUUGGUGCAGUCUUUAUCUUCUGUCAGCAACUCCACCGUGUGAGAUAACCAGUUUGCAUCCCCUUCUGCACUGGAUGGACCGGCCAGUCCUCAAAGGAGCUUCCAUCUGGGGGAGAAGAGAAAGGGCGCACUCCCUGUCUCAGGCCCAGAUUGGUAGCAGCAGCUAAGCAAAACUUUAAACUAAAGCUGAACUCGAAGCACGUUAGUUUCCUCGUUGACAUCUAUGGGGCGUAAGGGUGAGCAUGCACCUAAGACCACAACUCAGCACGUGUUUCACUCUCAUGGUGUGCUUCAAUGGGACGUGCGUGAAGUGAAGUGUGUGAUUAGGGAUGCUUCCCUCAAUGGAACAGACGUGCCAGACCAUCAAAGCUAUUUAAGUGCCUGUCUCAUAUUAAAACCAAUGGGAGUUAGGCACUCAAAGACCUCUGAGGAGCUUGGCCUAAGUGCGCUUGACAGGUAACUCAGGAUAGGGUGGGGAGCAGGUUGAAAUUAAUAAAUCAA